UGUGUAGGAGGCUUUGUGCGUUUCAUGUUAAAGCCCACCGCCUAACGGUGGAACUGCGUGAAAUACGGCAGAGCUGGAGGGAGUUAGAGGUGCAUGGAACUCACGGUGUAGGGGUGAAAUCCGUUGAUAUCGUGGGGAACACCAAAGGCGAAGGCAGUGCACUGGGACUUUCCUGACUCUGAGACACGAAAGCGUGGGGAGCAAAAA
rnacentral:rRNA from 1 species